AAUACGUUCCCGGGCCUUGUACACACCGCCCGUCACACCACGAAAGUCGGCAACACCCGAAGCCGGUGGCCCAACCCGUAAGGGAGGGAGCCGUCGAAGGUGGGGGUUGGUGAUUGGGGUG
rnacentral:rRNA from 1 species